GUGGCUGGCGCGCGUCGGGCGGGCGGGCGCGGGCGCAACUUCGCGGCCAGAUGCCCGUGGGCGCGGCGGCGCGGCGAGGCCACUGCUGCUGCCCCUGCGGGCCCCGGGCGCGUCUCCACGGGCGGCGUUGCCCGCGGCGCGGCGUGCGCACCGAGCGAGUGAAGGUAUGUGCGGCGGGCGCGGCUGGAGCGGCCGCCGCCGCGGCGCCUGCAGGUCCUAAUGCCUGUCCGUUCCCAGGACGCUGGCAGCGGCAGCCCGGAGCCCCCGAGCCCUCGGCAGGUCUGCCUGUCCUUCCCGGCGAUCUGAUUGGAUAAAGUGGGGGCUCGACGGUGGCCGACGCGGGACAGUCUGGCUGUGGCAGGGGUCUCGGAAACCAUGGGUUAUUGCAAUGGCAGGUGCACGCUGAUCUUUAUCUGUGGCAUGCAACUGGUUUGUGUGCUGGAGAGGCAAAUAUUUGACUUCCUUGGAUAUCAGUGGGCUCCUAUCCUGGCAAAUUUUGUACAUAUUAUUAUCGUCAUUCUUGGUUUAUUUGGAACUAUUCAAUACAGACCUCGUUACAUAAAAGGAUAUGCUGUCUGGCUAAUCCUCUGGGUUACGUGGAAUGUGUUUGUUAUCUGCUUCUACCUGGAGGCCGGGAAUCUCUCAAAGGAAACAGACCUUAUCCUGACUUUUAAUAUUUCAAUGCACCGAUCUUGGUGGAUGGAGAAUGGACCAGGAUGUACGGUGACAUCAGUGACACCCGCCCCAGACUGGGCCCCAGAAGACCAUCGCUACAUCACGGUCUCAGGGUGUUUUCUGGAGUACCAGUACAUAGAAGUGGCUCAUAGUUCCCUCCAGAUUGUCCUCGCACUGGCAGGGUUCAUCUACGCCUGCUAUGUUGUGAAAUGUAUAACUGAAGAAGAGGACAGCUUUGAUUUCAUAGGUGGCUUUGAUUCUUAUGGCUAUCAAGGGCCUCAGAAGACAUCUCAUUUACAACUGCAGCCUAUGUACAUGCAAAUUCCCUUGGAUAACAACUGAUAACAAAUUCUAUAUAUCAGCAUCAAGUGAUAUGCUGAAUUGCAAGCGAAGAUCAAAAUAGAAAGUCGAAAUAAUACAUAUGGCUUCAUAAUGUCAGCUCCUGGACCUUACAAAAAAAACUUGUUUCGCAAUGGCCUCCUGCAUUUUAUGAAGAGCAAGAAGCAACUGAGUUUAAAUAUACAUACAUUUUGACAAAACAAACACCAAGCCUCACAUACCAAACACCAAGCCUCACAUACACUGGGGCACGCGCGCGCGCGUACACACACACACACACACACACACUGAGACACACACCAGUUCCACUUGGCCUCCUCUUCCUAACUGAAACAGACAAAUGUGCAGGACAUGCCCAGCUCGGAUUUCCUGAAAGCAGGCUUUUUUCUCCCAGGCCUUUGGAAAGUUCAAAAGGAGACGUGUUGGUGCCCUCUGCUGGCUGUCACUAACUCCUCUGCCGCUCAGCCCCUGGGCCUCUGGGAGCUGUCAAGUCAUCCAGGGCAAAGUAGCUUGAGAGUCCUGUCUUCUGCACUCCAGACAUCUUGAUAGCACCACGGCUCCGUAGGCAACAGAAUUGCAAACACCAACAAACAAAACGUGCCAUGAUGACCUGGUAACCAAAGUCUGAAAUGGCAGGUUGUUUGCCCUAAAGGCUGUCCCGUACAUACUUGCCUUAACCCACCAUAGUUGUGCGCCCGAGAAUCUCAGUGCAGACAUCCCCAAGUCAUUUCCUUUAGGCUAACACACUGCUAUUAAUUCCGAAUGAGUUCAAGUCUGUAUGUUUUAUGUCAAGAAACCAGACUGAAGAGCCCAGCAGCUCCAGUGUGUCUGUGUACGAAAACUGCCAGCUGUCAGCAAAGUGCUUUACCAUUGAGCCUCCACAGUGGCCAAAAAGAGACAAGUACCAAUAACAACAACAAUCAUCAUCAUCACCUUUAUAAUUCUUAAAUAUGGGCUUCUGAUGGGGUUGGGUGGGGGCAAAGUAAAACUUAGUAAUCUACUAACAUCAUUUAUCUACUGGAAGCAGAAAUGGCAUAACUCACUGACUUUAUUUAUCGCACUCUAGGUGCUUUUAUAAGUAUCUACAAAUGUCUUUUACUAACACAGAAACAGCUGUGGAUUUCUAUCAACAGAGGCCAACUGACUAUGUAUUAGCGAUGUUUACUCUUUUAUAUCUAAUUCAAAUUGAAGACCCUAUGUAGGUGAACUUUUUUUCCUAACUUCCAGCGUAUGAGA